rnacentral:ncRNA from 1 species
GUCUAAGUACAUACCUUAAAACGGUGAAACCGCGAAUGGCUCAUUAAAUCAGCUAUGGUUCCUUAGAUCAUACAUGCUAAUACAUGCAAUUAUGCCCUGACCCGCAAGGGAACGGGUGCAUUUAUCAGAACAGAACCAACCGGGAGCAGUUUCGGCUGUCUCUGUUGAAUUCUUUGAUGACUCUGGAUAACUUUAAUGAUCGCAGUCGGCGUGUGUCGGCAACGGAUCUUUCAAAUGUCAUAUCACCCAAAUUCACUUGCUCAUGUGGAG